rnacentral:lncRNA from 1 species
AACUCUGUGGGGAAUAGGUCCACAAAGAAGGAAAGACGAUCCAUCGGAAUAAUACACUCACUAGGAACAGAGACUCUAAACGGACUCUCGUGGGGAAAAGAAAAAAAAAAGAAAAUGCGUGAGCAGGACACGACUCUGAAUUAGGGGAAAAAAGAACUAGACACUGCGUGAACAAAGCACGAUUGGACUAGAGACCUCGCUGGGGAGUGAAGGACUCGCACUGGGGAAAAGAAGAAUUCCAAAGGAGGACACAUCCAUUGGAAA